GUGUCGAUAAGAAAAUGGUUAUAAGAUACUAAUUAUUUUAUAAAAUGUUUCUUGAUUAAUUUUUUUGAGGAUAAGCUCGGAAAAAAGUUAAGAUAUUUUACUGAUUUAGGUUGUUAUGUGGGCUUAAAAUUGGCCAUCAUAAGAGUUUGUUAUAAAACAAGAAUCUUAAUAUUUAAAAUAAAUAUAUUAUAUUCUAAUUUUUCUAUAGGAAUAAAGCCUCUAAUUAAUAGAUGUCUUAUACUUAUGCUAGGAUGAGUAUUAAAAUCUACAUGCAUUAAGAAAGUUUUAUAUAUUUUUCUUCUAAUAAAAUAUUAAUCAAAUCAAAUUAGUUAGAAGGAACUCGGCAAAUUCAAUGCAUCCGCCUGUUUAUCAAAAACAUGGCUCUUUGCAUACAUUUUUAUAGGGAGUCAGGCCUGCCCAGUGAAUAAUAUUUAACGGCCGCGGUACUCUGACCGUGCAAAGGUAGCAUAAUCAUUUGCCUUAUAAUUGAAGGCUAGUAUGAAUGGUUUAACGAGAGCAAUACUGUCUCCUUUCUAGUUUCAAGAAUUUAACCUUUAGGUGAAGAGGCCUAAAUUUAAUUGAAGGACAAGAAGACCCUGUCGAGCUUAAAAGAAACCAUAGAAUUUUAUAUAUUUUUAGAUAAAUUUCCUAUUAAGCUUUUUAAUUGGGGCGAUUAAGGAACAAAAAAAGCUUCCUACAAAAAAUAAACAACCAGGUUUUGAUCCGAUAAUAAUCGAUUAAGGAAAUUAGUUACCGCAGGGAUAACAGCAUAAUCUCUCUUGAGAGACCUAAUCGAAAGAGGGGGUUGUGACCUCGAUGUUGGACUAGAAUAUCCUAAAGAUGCAGAAGUCUUUAAAGG
rnacentral:rRNA from 1 species